CCUACGGGUGGCAGCAGUGAGGAAUAUUGGUCAAUGGUCGGGAGACUGAACCAGCCAAGCCGCGUGAGGGAGGAAGGUACAGAGUAUCGUAAACCUCUUUUGUCAGGGAACAAAGGCGGGGACGUGUCCCCGGAUGAGUGUACCUGAAGAAAAAGCAUCGGCUAACUCCGUGCCAGCAGCCGCGGUAAUACUGCGGAUGCGAGCGUUAUCCGGAUUUAUUGGGGUUAAAGGUUGCGCAGGCGGAAUGCCAAGUCAGCGGUAGAAUCGCGGGGCUCAACCUCGCUCCGCCGUUGAAACUGGCGUUCUUGAGUGGGCGAGAAGUAUGCGGAAUGCGUGGUGUAGCGGUGAAAUGCAUAGAUAUCACGAAGAACUCCGAUUGCGAAGGCAGCAUACCGGCGCCCAACUGACGCUGAAGCACGAAAGCGUGGGUAUCGAACAGGAUUAGAUACCCCGGUAGUC
rnacentral:rRNA from 1 species